GAACGCUGGCGGCGUGCUUAACACAUGCAAGUCGAGUGCGCGUUUCGUAGCAAUACGAAAUGGCGCACGGCGCACGGGUGCGUAACACGUGGGUAACCUGCCCUUUGAUGGGGAAUAACCCCGGGAAACCGGGGCUAAUUCCGCAUAAGAUCCGCAAGGAUGAAAGCCGAGAGGCGUCGAAGGAGGGGCCCGCGCACGAUUAGCUAGUUGGUGAGGUAAUGGCUCACCAAGGCUAUGAUCGUUAGCUGGUCUGAGAGGAUGGCCAGCCACACUGGAACUGAGACACGGUCCAGACUCCUACGGGAGGCAGCAGUGGGGAAUCUUGCACAAUGGGCGAAAGCCUGAUGCAGCGACGCCGCGUGGGGGAUGAAGCUUCUCGGAGUGUAAACCCCUUUCGACCGGGACGAAUGCCCGCAAGGGACUGACGGUACCGGUAUAAGAAGCCCCGGCUAACUACGUGCCAGCAGCCGCGGUAAGACGUAGGGGGCCAGCGUUGCUCGGAAUUACUGGGUGUAAAGGGUUCGUANGCGGUGUGGCAAGUCGGGAGUGAAAUCUCUGGGCUCA
rnacentral:rRNA from 1 species